rnacentral:tRNA from 1 species
GACUGUGUAGCUCAGUUGGAAGAGCAUUGGGCUAGUAUUCCAAAGGUCGUAGGUUCGAAUCCUACCGUGGCCG